rnacentral:rRNA from 1 species
GAUCCUGGCUCAGGACGAACGCUGGCGGCGUGCCUAAUACAUGCAAGUCGAACGAACCGCGACUGAGUGCUUGCACUUGGUCAAGGUGAGUGGCGAACGGGUGAGUAACACGUGGGUAACCUACCUCAUAGUGGGGGAUAACAGUCGGAAACGACUGCUAAUACCGCAUAGGACAUGGAAUCACAUGAUUCCGUGAGGAAAGGUGGCGCAAGCUAUCGCUAAGAGAUGGACCCGCGGUG